CCUACGGGUGGCAGCAGUGAGGAAUAUUGGUCAAUGGGCGCGAGCCUGAACCAGCCAAGUCGCGUGAAGGAUGACUGCCCUACGGGUUGUAAACUUCUUUUAUAAAGGCAUAAAGUUGGGCACGUGUGCCUUUUUGUAUGUACUUUAUGAAUAAGGAUCGGCUAACUCCGUGCCAGGAGCCGCGGUAAUACGGAGGAUCCGAGCGUUCGCCGUAUUUAUUGGGUUUAAAGGGAGCGUAAAUGGGUUGUUAAGUUAGUUGUGAAAGUUUUCGGCUCAAACGUAAAAUUGCAAUUGAUACUGGCAGUCUUGAGUACAGUUGAGGUAGGCGGAAUUCGUGGUGUAGCGGUGAAAUGCUUAGAUAUCACGAAGAACUCCGAUUGCGAAGGCAGCUUACUAAACUGCCACUGACAUUGAUGCUCGAAAGUGUGGGUAUCAAACAGGAUUAGAGACCCCAGUAGUC
rnacentral:rRNA from 1 species